UAAAGGUAUAAGAUUUGUUUGGAGUGGACACGUUUGCUUACGUUUGCCGCUAGGGGCGCUGUUACAACUGCAUACAAAUUUGAGUUA
rnacentral:pre_miRNA from 1 species